rnacentral:rRNA from 1 species
UACGUAGGGGGCAAGCGUUGUCCGGAUUUAUUGGGCGUAAAGAGCGUGUAGGCGGCCUGGUAGGUCAGCUGUGAAAACUCGAGGCUCAACCUCGAGACGUCGGUUGAAACCACCUGGCUAGAGUCCGGAAGAGGAGAGUGGAAUUCCCGGUGUAGCGGUGAAAUGCGCAGAUAUCAGGAAGAACACCCGUGGCGAAGGCGGCUCUCUGGGACGGUACUGACGCUGAGACGCGAAAGCGUGGGGAGCGAACAGG